CGGGUGGAGCCGCAAUGUCGCUCGUCCCGGGGCAUUCAGCCCGCUUCCCGCCGCCGGACCUCCCUGGAUUCAAGCGGCGCCGCUCUUCGGAGUGCGUGCCCGCCGGGGAGGGUACAAAGCCGGUGGCGAGACGGGUGCACUUGCUUCGGUCGUCGAGAGCCACGACCGGUUCCUUCGCAGGCAGUGUGGACUCCCUUGGUCGGGUUAACGGCGGGUCGAACGAUGUUCCAAUUUUUGGGCUUCGAUCGCCCGCUCCGACCGGGAGGGAAACUGGCCUGGGGACCGAGGACUGCAUCUGGCUGGCGUCUCCGUUACUCUCGAGCCGUGCGCCCUGUCGGCCCCCUUCGGGUGUGGUCAGGCAAGACGGGCGCGAGGACGCAUCGGGAGCGAGCGGACGGCGUUCGGCCUAACACGGUGCUUGUCGGUGGCGGAUCAGGUCGGUACUCCACCCGACCCG
rnacentral:rRNA from 1 species